GCCGAAAUAGCUCAGUUUGGAGAGCGUUAGACUGAAGAUCUAAAUGUCCCCGGUUCAAUCCCGGGUUUCGGCA
rnacentral:tRNA from 2 species